UACCAGCACCCCGAGUGGUCGGGACGAUUAUUGGGCCUAAAGCAUCCGUAGCCGGUCAUGCAAGUCCUCCGUUAAAUCCACCUGCUUAACAGAUGGGCUGCGGAGGAUACUAUAGAGCUAGGAGGCGGGAGAGGCAAGCGGUACUUAGUGGGUAGGGGUAAAAUCCGUUGAUCCAUUGAAGGCCACCAGUGGCGAAGGCGGCUUGCCAGAACGCACUCGACGGUGAGGGAUGAAAGCUGGGGGAGCAAACCGG
rnacentral:rRNA from 1 species